CCAUCGUGAAGAAUCAUUCUCUAAGUGCUUUCGAGAAAUACUUAUAUGUUUACUGGAAGAUGGAUGAUGAAGAAGAGAAGACUAUUUUGCAGGUGAAUAACAGUGAUGAAGAACCAGUAAGCAGUUCAAAUGAGAAUGAUAAUCCUGAGAGUAAGGAAAACGAUGAUAAAACUAUCAAUGUCGUUAACGACGAGGAUGUCAAGUCCGACAUAAGUAAUGAUUUUCCUUACAAAUUACCAAUGCUCCCUCACAGAAAAUCUGUGCUUGAAAUACAGCUUAAAAAAAUCUUACUUGAUGAGUCUCACGUUAAAGAAAAAGAUUCUGCGUUAGAGCAUAUUAGAAGAUUAUCUCAUAGUAUUCAGGGAGAGAGUUCAGCGAUACGGAAGUUAUCUUUGAUGAUGGAAGAAGAAAGUAAACCAGAAAUUAAAUUACUCGAAGUUUCGAUAGAGCAACCUCUUAUUCCAGAGGUGAAAGAACGUGAUCCAAAAGAAAUAGCUUUUGUACGAAAUCUUCCGGUCUCCAUGAAAGAAAAAAGGAUGUAUCUAAGUGGAGUCAUAUCUGCUGGAAAAGAGUCAUGGAUAACAAAUGGGAAUGGCAAAUUUGACAUUGUUAAAGAAAAGGCACGGAAUGCUUUACCAAAAUAUGAAUUAUGGAAUAAAACUUUGAAACUGAUUGAAGGACGUUUCGGAGCUGGUGUUGUUUCGUACUUUCUCUUAUUGCGAUUCCUUCUUCUUAUGAAUACUAUAAUAUUUUUGCUGAAUUUUGUUUUUAUUAUCUUACCACAACUUGCAAUCGCGGGAAAUCUUAAAGAUGAGAAUUCUACCUCACAAUUCCUGAUACAAGAUAUAAUAAACAGGGCUAAAACGGGACAAGAGAUUUUAGAUGUUGUUGAAAGAGAAGGAAAUAGAACAGAUGAGGAAAUUAUUGCUUAUUGUCAACAAAUGUACUUGAAAGAUAUAAAAUCAGUCAGUCACGAAACCAUUCUAGAUCAUCUUCAAAACUUACUGCAAGGAACGGGAUUUCUGGAGCCCACUCUGUUAUUUCUUGGAUCUUAUGUAUCACGGAAUCUUCGUAUCUACUACACCACUUACCACGUGCCUCUGGCAUUUGUCUGCGUAUUUGUCGUAUCCAUUCUGAUUUCCUUCUUCCUAAUGAUCCAGUACUCUUCAUUUGGUAUGAAAGAAGCAUUUAUGGCAAGAAAUGAUAUCUUUCCAUUCUAUGCAAAUGAAAUACUCUGCACUUGGAAUCACUGUUUACUUCAUACGAAAACUGCUUCGCUUCAACAUAGCAGCCUAGUUUUAGCCUUGAAGAGCAACUUAGCUGAAGAUCGACGAAAGAAAGAAAUCCAGAAAUGGUCUAUUUCUACAAAGAUAAAACUAUACGCAAUUCGAUUUGUCAUCAAUUGCUUGAUAUUACUUUGGCUAUUUCUUUGUUUCUAUCUGAUAUACCUAGCUACAUUUUACCAAAUGAAGGAGGAAAAAGAAGGUCAGUUGGAAAAAAGUGGCAUCCGAACUCUAGUUAUUCAAUAUCUGUCAGCAGUUACUAUAGUAAUUGUCAAUAGCGUAUCACCUGCCAUUUUUGCUUUUCUAGUUUCUUUUGAAAAUUAUCAUGGUCAACAGCAAGUCAACAUUUUACUUCUCAGGAAUGUUUUUCUCUCUCUGGCAUCAAUUAUAGUCAUGGUAGGCACUUUCCAUCAACAAAUUACUUGCCAACCAAGAGAUAUUUGUGGUUCUGGGACAAGUAAAAACUGCCGCUCUCCUAGAUGCUGGGAAACUCAUGUCGGCCAGCAACUUUACAAGCUAACCCUAUCUGAUUUAUUUAUUCGCCUCGGUUUACUUCUCUGCGUUGAUAUACCAAGAGACCUUUUAGUGAGAAAAUUUGACAACAAAUUCACAAGAUUAGUUGGUCGCAAAGAAUUUAAUUUGCCGAUCGAGGUCCUGGGUCCUGUUUACUUUCAAACAGUUUUAUGGCUUGGGGUUUUUUACUCGCCACUUCUGCCACUAGUAGUCAUUUUAAAAAUAAUAGUGAUAUUUUAUAUAAAAAAGAUCAGUGUCUUAAAAUAUAAUGCACCUUCAAGUAUACCAUACAAGGCAUCACGCUUCAAUUCUGUGUUUAUCAACACUCUCAUGAUCUCCCUUUUUGCGGUGGUAGUGGUAUAUCUAUAUGCAUGGACCAGUCUCGAACCUUCACUGGGAUGUAGCCCAUUUCGAUUUUAUCGAACUGUAUUUCAAGUGGUUACAGACGCAGUGAAAGAACUUUCUUCUGGUUUCCUAAAUUUCUUAUACUUUAUAUUUCAAGGAUGGUUUUUUAUACCAGCUACAAUGCUAAUAGGAUCUAUCAUAUUCUACUACUGGAGACUGCUUCAAAUACUGAAAUGCCUGGUACGGAGACUGAGAGGUCAGCUGCUUCUACAGGGUCGAGAUAAACAAUUUCUCAUCAGACGAUUGACGACUCUGGAUGAGAAAUGAUUUCUAUUAUUUGCCUCUCAAAAAAAAAAUAUUGUUUUACCUAUCUUUAAAAGGAAUUCUUCUGGACUUCAUUUUAUUCAUAUGCGCACUUAUUUGUACAUCCAGUGGACGACAACAGAUAUUUCUGACUAGAAAUAGACCAUGACAUGUGGGAAGAAUUUCUAUAUAAAUAUCUUUUUUAAUCAAAAUUUUUCUGUGCAGCACAUAAAUGUAGAAAAUGAAAUAUUUACUUUAUUUUUCUUUGGACCUAGCUUAAGGUUUGCUGUUUCCUGAAUUGCAGACGGUUCUGCAAUUUAAUUUGUCAAAAGCGGCAGAAUUUUUUUAUAUUUUCCCACUUUUUUGCGCCCUUUUAUUUUAGAAGUGUUUAAUAAUUUUUUUCAUUCACCACUUCUGUUUGUGCAUAUCGUUAUCAACAAGACAGCAACUUUAGAUGCACUGCAGAGUUAUUUAAAAAAUUAGCCUCUUAUUAAAAGAAUAGCAACUGGAAUAUUUCAAAAUUUAAUCUCCAAGGAAAAAACGUUCCUUCAAUUUCAUAUAUAUUCCAAAUUGAGAUUAAAGGAAAGCUAACUUCAUACAAAGUAUUUUUUUUUCUUCAUUAAUAAUUUUAUUAAUAGUUCGGACAAAUUAUCUUGUUAGUGCUUAAAUUAAAUGAAUAAGUAUACUUUGUAAGAGGAGUGUAUACAUUCCUAAUAAUUCUUUAAUGCAACAAAUGAAGAGAAAAGUCUUUGUUAAAAAAGUCAUCUAUUACAUUACAUACUGUAAUUUUUUUUUUUUGGGGGGGGGGGGGUCUUGAUAUCAGCCAGAUGACCUUGCUGACUAAAUUUGUAAUGCUUCCUAAAGACUAUGCCUCGCUUUCCAUCUUCUUUAAAAAGAAGAUGGAAAGCAAGGCAUAGAAAAGAAGCAGAAUUAUAUUGUUCAUUAUUUAUGUUUUGAACACAUUAAAUUUAUUUUGAAUAAGGUUCUACUGUAGGCUUAUAGUCAGGCCACGCAACUAUUCUUGAUAUAUUAAAAACCACCUUAUUGUAUCACCAAUAACUCUUGAUGUAUUCAGUAUUUAUUGUUAGUGGCUUUAAGGGUUGCCAGAUUAAGUAAAUCUGCUACAAGAUCACAAUGAAUAACGAAAUUUCUUGAGUACAAGCAGAAAUAUAUAAAACUUUAAUAAUGUAUAAAAUAAUGUAUAAAACUUUUUUAGUCUGAAA